UAAUAGGCGAUAGAUUGUAAAUCUAUAAAUAAGAAUAUUUCUUUCUACUCAGGCUUUGUAGUUUA
rnacentral:tRNA from 1 species